rnacentral:rRNA from 1 species
CCUACGGGUGGCUGCAGUGGGGAAUCUUCCGCAAUGGACGAAAGUCUGACGGAGCGACGCCGCGUGAGUGAUGAAGGCCCUUGGGUCGUAAAGCUCUGUCAUCGGGGACGAACGGCUUUAUCAGGAAAUGGGUAGAGAUUGACGGUACCCGAGAAGGAAGCCACGGCUAACUACGUGCCAGCAGCCGCGGUAAUACGUAGGUGGCGUUAGUUGUCCGGAAUUAUUGGGCGUAAAGAUCGCACGUGUGGUCUGAAAGUUCGGAGCUUAACUCCGUGAUGGGAUGGAAACUGAGAUUCUUGAGUAUCGGAGAGGAAAGCGGAAUUCCCCGUGUAGCGGUGAAAUGCGUAGAUAUGGGGAGGAACACCAGUGGCGAAGGCGGCUUUCUGGACGAUGUCUGACACUGAGGCGCGAAAGCCAGGGGAGCGAACGGGAUUAGAUACCCUUGUAGUC